rnacentral:tRNA from 1 species
GCCUUCGUGGUGUAGUAGUUAGCACGCUCGACGCGUAACUGAGAGGUCCGUGGUUCGAUUCCCGGCGAAGGCG